rnacentral:rRNA from 1 species
CGUACACUCCUGCGGGAGGCAGCAGUGGGGAAUUUUGGACAAUGGGCGAAAGCCUGAUCCAGCCAUGCCGCGUGCAGGAUGAAGGCCUUCGGGUUGUAAACUGCUUUUGUACGGAACGAAACGGCCUUUUCUAAUAAAGAGGGCUAAUGACGGUACCGUAAGAAUAAGCACCGGCUAACUACGUGCCAGCAGCCGCGGUAAUACGUAGGGUGCAAGCGUUAAUCGGAAUUACUGGGCGUAAAGCGUGCGCAGGCGGUUAUGUAAGACAGUUGUGAAAUCCCCGGGCUCAACCUGGGAACUGCAUCUGUGACUGCAUAGCUAGAGUACGGUAGAGGGGGAUGGAAUUCCGCGUGUAGCAGUGAAAUGCGUAGAUAUGCGGAGGAACACCGAUGGCGAAGGCAAUCCCCUGGACCUGUACUGACGCUCAUGCACGAAAGCGUGGGGAGCAAACAGGAUUAGAUACCCCUGUAGUCCCA